UGGCUCAGUGGUUAAGAGCACUGGCUGUUCUUUCAGAGGACCUGGGUUCAAUUCCCAG
rnacentral:tRNA from 1 species